UUGUAAAUAUAUUCUCUCCCUUUGAUUUGUAUUAUAUUUUAUUGUGUAUUGUAAGUCAUCUAUUAUUUAUUGAACAUUUGGACUGUAAUUUACAACUAUUGCAGCUCCAUAUUUUUUUCUUAAAUAUUACUUCUAAUUUUCUUUGAUUUAAAUGCAGCUCUAGUCAAUGAUUAGAUAAAGAAAUAUUUUAUUUUGAAAAAUGAAGUGUACAUGUAUUUAAUUUUACACAAAUUAGUCAAUAUAAUAGCAGAAAAAAGUUAUGAUCUUUAUUAUAUGGGACCCUGUACUGUUUUGCUGUUUUGUUCUGAGGGAGGGUUAAUUUUGAGUGUUAGGUUUAAGGAUGCUCGCUUGUCAAGUUUUUGAAUUUUUGUCAGAUUUUCGGAAUCCUCUGGUUUUAUCCAUUUAAAUGCCUUAAAAAUUUUGACCAUUUUUUACAUGUAUAGUCAUGAUAGUGAUAAGCCAUCUGUAAAAGUCUUAUAAAAUUUUAAUUAUUUAAAAAAAAUUAUUUAUGAAAGAAAAUUAAGAAAGGAGAGAAUAAUAGUAUUGCUAAGUCUGGUAUGGGUUCUUUGAAAGUGGAGGAUGAAGGGGGCCUUUGGCUAAGUCUGGUAUGGAUUCUUUGAAAGUGGAGGAGGAUGAAGUGGGCCUUUGGCUAAGUCUGGUAUGGGUUCUUUGAAAGUGGGGGAGGAUGAAGGGGGCCUUUGGCUAACACACUUGGCUUUCUAUAUUGUUAUAUAGCUGGGUGUCUUGAUUUUGGAUGUACACUAUAUAAAAAAAUUUAAAAGUCAUCUGACAACAAGCUUCUAGUAGAAGUCUAAAAAUUUUUUUUUUUGUCUUUGCCUGUAAAAAGCUUUGAUG
rnacentral:lncRNA from 1 species